rnacentral:tRNA from 1 species
GCAGUAGUGGUUCAGAGGUAGAAUUCUUGCCUUCCAUACAACAGGCCCAAGUUUGAUUCCCGGCCAAUGCA